rnacentral:tRNA from 1 species
GGGUCUGUAGCUCAAUUGGUAGAGCAGUUGCCUCUUAAGCAAUUGGUUGUGGGUUCAAGUCCCACCGGACCCACCA